rnacentral:rRNA from 1 species
GAUGAACGCUGGCGGCGUGCUUAAUACAUGCAAGUCGAACGGAGAAUAUAGCAAUAUGUUCUUAGUGGCGAACGGGUGAGUAACGCGUUGGUGACCUGCCCCGAAGAGAGGGAUACCAGUUCGAAAGGACUGCUAAUACCGCAUAAUAUUGCUGAGGCUAGACACUUGGCAAUGAAAGGGAGAAAUUCGCUUUGGGAGGGACCUGCGUCCCAUCAGCUAGUUGGUGAGGUAACGGCUCACCAAGGCUAUGACGGGUAGGGGACCUGAGAGGGUGGACCCCCACACUGGCACUGAAACACGGGCCAGACACCUACGGGUGGCAG